AUGCAACUCACUGUCAACAUUUCUAAGGUUUCAUUCCAACAUCUCGUGGAAUGAUAGAGCAGAAAGCAACCUCGGAGGCUAUUCGAGCCAGCCCCACGUCGGAGCAAGCUGAAGUGUGGCGAGGUGAGAGGACUGCCUCUUGUUCCCCACGGCAGUUACCGUAUGCUGACAAAACGAAGAAACUGGUCUACAUUUCAAAAAAGAAAAAAAAACACGCGCGCGCACGCAGAUAAGUGUGAGAUUGGACUUGAUUCGGGGCCAACACCUCCAGUCCCGGAGCCAGGUCUGUGAGCCGAAAACAUGCACCAACCCUCCAGUAAUACCACUGCAGCCAGCCACAGUCUCAACAAUUUAAGACUUAAC